AACGAACGCUGGCGGCGCGCCUAAUACAUGCAAGUCGAGCGAGAAGACGUAGCAAUACGUUUGUAAAGCGGCGAACGGGUGAGGAAUACAUGGGUAACCUACCCUCGAGUGGGGAAUAACUAGCCGAAAGGUUAGCUAAUACCGCGUACGCUCCUUGGACUUCGGUUCAGGGNGGAAAGCGAUACCGUGGGUAUCGCGCUCUUGGAUGGGCUCAUGUCCUAUCAGCUUGUUGGUGAGGUAACGGCUCACCAAGGCUUCGACGGGUAGCUGGUCUGAGAGGACGAUCAGCCACACUGGCACUGCGACACGGGCCAGACUCCUACGGGAGGCAGCAGUAAGGAAUAUUGCGCAAUGGGCGAAAGCCUGACGCAGCGACGCCGCGUGGGGGAUGAA
rnacentral:rRNA from 1 species